CCUCUGCUCUCCAUCUCUUGCCUCGGUUCCAAGGACCCUAUUUCAGUAUGCAAUUUUCUGAUCUCAUCGGAGGUGCAAUUACCGACCAGAUCGAGUGUCCAUGUAUGGGAAUGGAUCAUAACAUGUUGAGAGUUCGUCUUUGUGAAGCAUGAUUUGAUGAAGAAUCGAUUAAACGAAGGGAUAAUGGUUCAUUAAUCGCUCAUAUUGCUAAACUUGAAGCUCAGGUGGAGAUGGUCAAAUGAAUGAUUUAGUUUGCUGCUAUUAUCAUUGGAACCGCGAUUGGUUUAAACGUGGUAAGUGGAGUUAGUUGAGCCAGUCCUCAGAGUGUUGUCAUAACCGAAAGGUAACCUCAAACAGAUUACUUCUUUGGUUGUGAAGAUCGUGUGAUUUUGGAAUAAGAAGUCUGGGCUGAGAUUCGUUUCGUUUGAGUCUCUCGACUGCUGCUUCUUCUGAG